GACGGGGGGUCCAAGCGUUGUUCGGAAUCAUUGGGCGUAAAGCGGGCGUAGGUGGCCAUGUAAGUUAGGAGUGAAAGCCCUGGGCUCAACCCAGGAAGUGCUCUUAAUACUGCAUGGCUUGAAUGUGGGAGAGGGUAGUAGAAUUCCAGGUGUAGUGGUGAAAUACGUAGAUAUCUGGAGGAAUACCGGUGGCGAAGGCGGCUACCUGGCCCAACCAUUGACACUGAGGCCCCGAAAAGCGUGGGGAUCAAACAGG
rnacentral:rRNA from 1 species